GCCAAACCGAGUCCCACCACCCCCGGUAAUACUUGUCCCGAUAUUUUGUUUGUUGAUUGAUCCAGUUAAAAAGCCUGUAGUUUAUUUAUAAUAAGCAUUGUAAGGUAUACUGUAUGGUUAGGAGAGAGAUGAAAUGUGAUAACCCUAACUGGAUGAACAGAAGCGAAAGCUGUAUACUUAAAUGUAUUAUUAGAACAAGGACGUAAGCUAGAGGAUCGAAGAUGAUUAGAUACCAUUGUA
rnacentral:rRNA from 1 species